rnacentral:lncRNA from 12 species
CUAGCCUGCACAAUUCCAGCCAACAAAAGGAGAUUUACCAACCACACAUGAACACUGUCUAUCUCAUCUGAGACUUGGGGAGCUUGAAGGACAAGAGUGAUAGUGAACACUCAGGAGUAAUCCAGCACAUGCUAAAGCUGAAGAAUCCUAGAGAUUGAGAGGAGAUGUACAGUUGGAUAAGAAGUUUAAAAAUCUAAAAAAAAAAAAAAAAAAGGUUUAAAAAUCUGUAUUUCAGCAAACUUCUCUAAUAUAUGCAGUUUGGGGGAAAAAAGACUUGUUUCUGCACCCAAACUGACAGACUAAUACAUUUUUCCUCUUCUUUCACUGAAGCAUUUCAUCGUGCAGCUCAGAAGCGGUUGCUAAUUAAAACUAAAUAUGAAGAGAAUUUUCUCAAGCUGGACUGCGUGACUUCAGAGAAGAGAAGAGAACCACUGCUAGAGUUAUUUUCCCUGGUUUCCAGAGUUCCUUUUCAGAAGAAAGUGACUUCUGAGCAAAAUUUAGAAACAAAACACACACACAGUCCUUUUUGAAAACCCCAGUUUGCUUUUCAUGCAUUCUCUUCCUGUCGGGCUACUUCUUCCUUUCUCAUUUCUUCCUUCUUCCUCAAAGACUGCUCCUGGUGUAGACUCUCACACCACUCAUUUAUGGCAGCUCUGUGUGACUUUAAGUUGCACUUUAAUAGGACUGUUUAAAUCUUAUUUUUAACACCAUCAUAACACACCUAGACCACUGCUGAAUAGUGAGUGAAGAGGAAUAGUCUUCAUGGAACAGGAAACUCUACUCUCUUGCAAUAAGAAUUAGGUUUCUGGCUUUUUUAAGCAUAAAUGAGCACUACUUAGAUAAAGCAGAAGUUUUUAUUACGAGUCACCUCAUUUGCCCAUGCUCCUGCCCCUCUUCUACCCUCAUGGAAGGAAUUCAUUUCACCUGCUUCCCAGAUGGGUAACCUAAGCUCUCCACUCCCCUGGGAAGAUACAGAAGCCCUUAAACCCUAAUCCCUACAUAAACUGGUCUGUUCAAGGCUGUUCAUUGGACUGAAAUACAAGGGUUGCCGGAAUGUUUCUGAUGCCUUCUAUUCAAGAUAUUAUUUAACCUUGCUCAAGAGAUGUAAAUAAAUCUCAGACUCAUCUUGAUUCA